rnacentral:misc_RNA from 1 species
CUGCGAUUACGGUCACUACACUUUGUUACACUACAUUUGUUUCCAUUUUAAAUAUCGUGCUAUUUAAUCUUGACCCAUAACAUUUCCACUUAUUUUCGCUCUGUACAUAACUACCCUUACCUUUCUUUUUCUUAUUUUCCUUGGCAGCGUGGCCACUGGAACCGCGAAAAAUUCAAAGCGUAAUAUGUAAUACCCUGAUUUCAAUUAUCGUUCCUCUGACACUGCUGACGUUCGCACACAUUUCGCGGAAGUAAUUAAUUCCUCGCACGCUCGAUCCUUCGAUAGUUUCUCGAAUAUUUUGCACGCGUUUGCGUAUCGCUCUUAUUCGAUCGGUUCGACGAGUUUCACGCAAAGUAUUCAGAAAGUG